rnacentral:rRNA from 1 species
ACGUAGGGUGCGAGCGUUAAUCGGAAUUACUGGGCGUAAAGCGUGCGCAGGCGGUCUGUUAAGACCGAUGUGAAAUCCCCGGGCUUAACCUGGGAACUGCAUUGGUGACUGGCAGGCUUUGAGUGUGGCAGAGGGAGGUAGAAUUCCACGUGUAGCAGUGAAAUGCGUAGAGAUGUGGAGGAAUACCGAUGGCGAAGGCAGCCUCCUGGGCCAACACUGACGCUCAUGCACGAAAGCGUGGGGAGCAAACAGGA